rnacentral:rRNA from 1 species
CACGUAGGGCGCAAGCGUUGUCCGGAAUUAUUGGGCGUAAAGAGCUCGUAGGCGGUCUGUUGCGUCCGCUGUGAAAACUCGGGGCUUAACCCCGAGCCUGCAGUGGAUACGGGCAGACUAGAGGUAGGUAGGGGAGAAUGGAAUUCCUGGUGUAGCGGUGGAAUGCGCAGAUAUCAGGAGGAACACCGAUGGCGAAGGCAGGUCUCUGGGCCACUACUGACGCUGAGAAGCGAAAGCAUGGGGAGCGAACAGG